rnacentral:rRNA from 1 species
UACGUAGGGUGCAAGCGUGUCCGGAAUUAUUGGGCGUAAAGAGCUCGUAGGCGGUUUGUUGCGUCGGCUGUGAAAUCCCCGAGGCUCAACCUCGGGUCUGCAGUCGAUACGAGCAAACUAGAGUGUUGCAGGGGAGACUGGAAUUCCUGGUGUAGCGGUGAAAUGCGCAGAUAUCAGGAGGAACACCGGUGGCGAAGGCGGGUCUCUGGGCAACAACUGACGCUGAGGAGCGAAAGCGUGGGGAGCGAACAGG